GCAAUAAGGUAACAGGUGUGCCCACCUCUCAGGGCUGCUAUGAGGACAACUGAGGCCACACACCUGGCUCUCAAUAAGUGAGUGGUGCUCUGUGAGCUCCUGGCGAGUUAGGGGCACCCUAUUCUCAUUGCGGCCGGGGGCCUCCCCCAGCAAACAGGUGGAAAGAGACCUGAGCCCCAUCCCCAGUUUCUGCCCCUGCUAUCUCCACCCAGGAUCCACCAGAAGAUAUGAAACAGGACCGGGACAUUCAGGCAGUGGCGACCUCCCUCCUGCCACUGACAGAAGCCAACCUACGCAUGUUUCAACGUGCCCAGGACGACCUUAUCCCUGCUGUGGACCGGCAGUUUGCCUGCUCCUCCUGCGACCACGUCUGGUGGCGCCGCGUGCCCCAGCGGAAGGAG
rnacentral:sRNA from 1 species